rnacentral:tRNA from 6 species
UGGGGCGUGGCCAAGUGGUAAGGCAUCGGGUUUUGAUCCCGCUAUUCGGAGGUUCGAAUCCUUCCGUCCCAG